GGACUUUAGCUUUGUGGGGUUAUGAUCUUACCUUUUUAUUAGCAGUUUUCCUCGUCUUUUGUGUGAAAGAUGGCCCUUUUUUCCAUUUGGUCGCUCAGUUGCUGUUCAAGUGUCAAGUUCUCGAGAUGAAAGAUGACCAUCUUCCAUGAAGUUGCAUAGUCGCUGUUCGAGCGUCGAGUUCUCUAGAAGCCGCCGAAGAACAGGUUACAAAACAGAGAGAUUUUCCAUUUGCUUUCGCUACGACAGCAGGCGUGGAGCUAAACUUCCAGAUACCGUCAUCAGUUUGGCACGAGCAUUAACAUCGUGGGAACUCGCGCACCAUACCAACACGGACAGCCCGAAAAACCCGGGGUAAUAGGGGGUAAACCCUGGGAGCAACACAUGCUAGCCACCACACACGUGCCACUGGGUAAGUCACCCUGUGACACCCGGGAAUCGAACUCCUCCCCUUGCGUUAGGGGGAGAAGCUCACCGCCAGCAGCACCACCCAGGUGAGUGGUUACUUCUAUUCGAAUUUUGAUCUCUCUUAGUGCCACAAAUAACUGGCCCUUAUUUCAGCUUGAUGUUUAAACUGUUUUCUUGCAUAAUACUCUUAAUGAGGAAGUUUAUAUAGAGCAACCUUCAGGAUUUGUGGCUCAGGGAGAGUCUAGGGGAUUGGUUUGCAAAUUUAAAAAUAUACAUAUUAUAUGAUUUGAAAUAAUCUUCACGGACAUGGUUUGAAAAAUUUUCUAAGGCCAUGCUUUCUUUUAAUUGUCGAGAUGUGACAAUGAUCACUCUUUCUUUUAUAAACAUUCAGAGUGAGGCAAACUGUUCUUAAUUGUAUAUGUUGAUAAUAUUAUCAUCAUAGGAGAUGACUUGAUUGGUAUAGCUAAGCUAAAGAUCUAUCUUCAACACCAGUUUCAGACUAUAGGCUUAGGAAAAUUGAAGUAUUUCCUAAGAAUUGAAGUAUUUCCUAGAAAUCGAAGUUGCACAAUAAAAAAAAAGGUAUUGUUUUGUCACAAUGAAAAUAUGUCUUGGAUUUGCUUACUGAGACGGGUAAGCCUCUUGAUUCACAUGAGGAACAAGGAGUUAAACUGACCUCUGAGGAUGGGGAGAUCUUUGACAAUCCCAAGAGAUAUAGAAGACCGGUGGAUAAGCUGAAUUAUUUUACAGUUACUCGUCCAGAUAUUGCUUUUUCCAAUCAAUGUGAUAAGCCAAUUUCUGUCUUCCCCCGAACGUCUCAUUAGGAUGCAGUUAUUCAUAUAUUGCGGUACUUGAAGAAAACUCCAGGGAAAGGGAUUGUUUAUCAGAACCAUGGUGAUAGUAAAGUUGAAGGAUUUUCUGAUAUUGAUUGUGCAAGAUCUCCAAAUGAUAGGAAAUCAAUCACAAGCUAUUGUACCCUAGUUGGAGGGAAUCUGGUAUCAUGGAAGAGUAAAAAACAGAGUAUUGUUGCUCGCUAAAGUGCCAAGUCAGAAUAUAGAGCCAUGGCACAAGUGAUAUGUGAAUUAUUGUGGAUUCAACAGUUAUUGACUGAAUUAUGUUUCAAAACUUCAAAACCUAUGACCCUAUGGUGUGAUAAUAAAGCCACCGUGCAUAUAACUUCCAA